rnacentral:rRNA from 1 species
CGUUCUCAGUUCGGAUCGGAGUCUGCAACCCGACUCCGUGAAGCUGGAUUCGCUAGUAAUCGCGCAUCAGCCAUGGCGCGGUGAAUACGUUCCCGGGCCUUGUACACACCGCCCGUCAAGCCAUGGGAGCCGGGGGUGCUUGAAGUGCGUCGCCGCAAGGCGCGCCCUAGAGCAAAACCGGUGACUGGGGCUAAGUCGUAACAAGGUACC